rnacentral:rRNA from 1 species
GACGAACGCUGGCGGCGUGCUUAACACAUGCAAGUCGAACGGACAGGCCCUGCUUUUGUUGUUUGCUCGAGUGGCGAACGGGUGAGUAACACGUGUGUAACCUCCCCUUGACUUUGUGAUAACUUCAGGAAACUGCGGCUCAUACCGGAUAGGAGCUCCUGCUGCAUGUUGUGGGUUGGAAAGAUUCGGCGGUUGGGGAUGGACUCGCGGCUUAUCAGCUUGUUGGUGUGGUAGUGGCUUACCAAGGCUUUGACGGGUAGCCGGCCUGAGAGGGUUACCGGCGACAUGGGGACUGAGAUACGGCCCAGAAUCCUACGGGAGGCAGCAGGGGGGAAUAUUGCACAAUGGGCGGAAGCCUGAUGCAGCAACGCCGCGUGCGGGAUGACGGCCUUCGGGUUGUAAACAGAUUUCGCAUGUGACGAAGCGUGAGUGACGGUAAUGGGUAAAGAAGCACCGGCUAACUACGUG